GAAUAUUGGACAAUGGGCGCAAGCCUGAUCCAGCCAUGCCGCGUGAGUGAUGAAGGCCCUAGGGUUGUAAAGCUCUUUCACCGGUGAAGAUAAUGACGGUAACCGGAGAAGAAGCCCCGGCUCACUUCGUCCCAGCAGCCGCGGUAAUACGAAGGGGGCUAGCGUUGUUCGGAAUUACCGGGCGUAAAGCGCACGUAGGCGGAUAUUUAAGUCAGGGGUGAAAUCCCGCAGCUCAACUGCGGAACUGCCUUUGAUACUGGGUAUCUUGAGUAUGGAAGAGGUGAGUGGAAUUCCGAGUGUAGAGGUGAAAUUCGUAGAUAUUCGGAGGAACACCAGUGGCGAAGGCGGCUCACUGGUCCAUAACUGACGCUGAGGUGCGAAAGCGUGGGGAUCAAACAGG
rnacentral:rRNA from 1 species